GCGGGGUAGUGCAGAGGUUGCACAUCAGCCUCAUAAGCUGACAUGACACUGGUUCGAAUCCAGUCCCCGCACCCA
rnacentral:tRNA from 1 species